rnacentral:lncRNA from 1 species
UAAUGAGAGAGAAGUCAUAUAGCCGAGCAGUAUGUUCCACUCUUCAGUCCACUCAUGACAGUGGACCUGUAUAGCUCAGUGGAGACCCAGUUAGAGACUGAUAUGAUACCUGCUGGGCUAUUGAUGAUCCUGUUCUGGGGCACAGAUCUCCAGGCUCAAAGCGUCAGUCCACCAGCUGAACUCUCAGUCAGACUGGUGGAUGGGACCACUUCCUGUUCUGGGACAGUGGAAGUCUUCUACAGAGGAGAGUGGUUAGGUCUAUGUUCUAGGUGGUGGGGCAUGAAAGAGAUCAAGAUUUUGUGUAGAGAGCUGGGAUGUGGGAAUGUUGUAGCUAAAUCUAGAGGACCACCGUUUGAAGAUGGAAGAAGAGGAAUCAGCAUAUGGCUUUGUAGUGG